ensembl:lncRNA
CCACUCUUGAAGGAGCUCUGGUUGCAGUUUUCUCUUUUGUGGACUUUUCCCUGUGAGCCUAUAUCUUUAGAGACAGCAAUACUCUCCUUUAAACCUUCCUAAAAACACUUUGACACUGGACUCCUAAUGAAGGCUUGUGUAACAAGAGGCCCUUGGAGGAUAGAGAAAGACCUUGUCCCUGCUUCAGGCUGUGAAGGGUAGUACUUGAAGAAUGCAAAUUAUUAACAUCUGCAUGAUGUGUGAGUUUAGGACUUUUUUUUUUUAAUCUUAAAACCAAAGUAUGUUUCUGGGUUCGGUCUGCUGGGCAUGCAAGUAUACUGUAUCUAAGAAGUUGUUUUUCCUUUUGAGGCUGCAGAUGAGAGAGAUCUGAUAAACCUUGGAAUGCACAUAUAAACAAAACUUCUUGAUUUUGAGAGACCACUGUGAUUCUAGUUAAUGUUAGGGCCAUAUGUGAAAUAUAGACGUCCAAUUUCCAGCACAAGCUCUCCACUUACAACCCCAAAUGUGUUCAGCACAGUUUCAAGGAAAUGAGAUAGGCUAAGCACAGUUUAUAUCACACUUAGCAUGGAUUUUGUGUUUUCCUUCAUCUUUUUAGGGAGGCUCAGACUUUUCAGAGGAGAGGGAUGGGAGACCGAUGUAUUCAUAUGCAAUAGAAUCCUUCCCUCACAUGGCACAAGCUUGAACACAAUUGCAGCCCUCAUGCAGGCUGUGUUUGUGGAGGUGCCUGAAAGUAGAGAUAAAAACCUCCUGUGCUUUGUCUCUUUGAGGUGAGUAUGGUGUUUAUAGCACAAAUCAAACAACAAUCCUCAGAAACUGAAACUCUUGUAUGUGUUACCUUGAUACAAAGGAAACAGGGAAGGGAAAACAGUAAAUGCUUUUAUAAACACAUUAACAGCAAGAGGAAGGCUAGGGAGAAUCUUCAUCCCUUGUUGGAUGCUGAGGGCAACCUGGUCACCAAGGAUAGGGAUAAGGCUGAGGUACUUAAUGCUUUCUUUGCCUCAGUCUUUAAUAAUAAGACUUGUUACUCCUUGGGAACACAGACCCCUGCGCUGGUAGAUAGGGAUGGGGAACAGAAUAAGCCCUUCAUGAUCCAUGACGAGAUAGUUUUGGUGCGAAACUGGAUGCUUACAAGUCCAUGGGGCGGAUGGAUUGCAUGCUAGAGUGCUGAGGGAGUUGGCGGAUGUGGUUGCCAAGCCACUCUCCAUCAUUUUCGGCAGUCCUGGCUAACUGGGGAUGUCCUGGUGGAUUGGAAACUGGCAAAUGUGACAUCCAUCUUCAAAAACAGCCGAAAAGAUGAUCCUGGUAGCUACAGGUCUAUCAGUCUCACCUUGGUAUCUGGGAAGGUUAUGGAACGAAUAAUCUCGGGAACCAUCAUGGACCAAUUAAAGGUCAACCAGGGGAUCAGGCCCAGUCAGCAUGGGUUUACAAAUGGUAGAUCCUGUCUGACAAACCUGAUUUCAUGAUCCGCUUAGUGGAUGAGGGUCAGGCUGUUGAUGUGGUCUACCAGGACUUCAGUAAGGUCUUUGCUGCUGUCCCCCAUAACAUUCUCGUGGAGAAGCUGGCUGCCCAUGGUCUGGAUGGGUGUAUGCUCCACUGGCUGGAUGUCCGGGCCCAAAGAGUCGUGGUCAAUGGUGCUGAAUCCAGUUGGCGGCCAGUCACAAGCGGUGUCCCCCAAGGCUCAGUGCUGGGGCCGCUUCUGUUUAACAUCUUCACUGAUGAUCUUGAUGAGGGUAUUGAGUGCACCCUCAGUAAGUUUGCAGUAAGGAAAAUGGAUGAAGAAGCAGAUCCUGAUGGCUUCUGUCAGCUGUUGACAAUACCUAGUAAUGUGCUUUUUCUGAAACAGACCUGAUGUGUCUUGUGGAUGAUAGAGUGAGUAGGUGUUGUGUCAAUCAGUAAGAAUUAAAAGUCACUGAAGGGCAGGAACAGCAGAUGUGAGAUUUUGACUGCUUUUUGUUCACAGGGAGAUGGUAUCAGACUCUAGCAAUUUGUGUGAUUUAAUGUCACGCUUAUCUCAUGCACUUUAGCAAAGGAUAUCACAAACAUAGAUUUUAGACCUCAACUUUAAAGACGUAAGACACAUGUUUUAUUGAUAAAAAACAAACUUGCGAAGCCUUCUGUAGCAUCUAAGUAGAUAUCCUGAUUUGUACUAGACUACUAAGCAGUUUGUUCCAUGACAACAAUUUUAUUACUCCAGGCUAGUCUCCCAAGUUAGUGAUAUGAUUUCUUAGAAAUCACAUGACUGUCAAUAUUUUUAUAAUUCACAG